rnacentral:rRNA from 1 species
GUCGAACGCUGGCGGCAGGCCUAACACAUGCAAGUCGAACGAGUGGCGGACGGGUGAGUAAUGUCUGGGAAACUUCCUGAUGGAGGGGGAUAGGUACUGGAAACGGUAGCUAAUAACGCAUACCAUCGGAUGUGCCCAGAUGGGAUUAGCGAGUAGGUGGGGUAAAGGCUGACCUAGGCGACGAUCCCUAGCUGGUCUGAGAGGAUGACCAGGCAAACUGGAACUGAGACACGGUCCAGACUCCUACGGGAGGCAGCAGUGGGGAAUAUUGCACAAUGGGCGCAAGCCUGAUGCAGCCAUGCCGCGUGUAUGAAGAAGGCCUUCGGGUUGUAAAGUACUUUCAGCGGGGAGGCGUUACCCGCAGAAGAAGCACCGGCUAACUCCGUGCCAGCAGCCGCGGUAAUUC